AAAAUGUAUAUUUCAUUUCAGUAGCAUAUCACAUCAAAUACAAUACAUCAUCCAGCGACUCCAUGCAUUAAGGUUCAACGCGUAACAAGGGCACAUCAAAAUAGUUUUACAUGUGCACAACAGAAUACUUGUGCAAGUGCAACUGUACAUAAAAAUGACCCAACAAAUGCAAAAUCGCAUAUAAAGAGAGUUUCACAAAGAUUGGAUGAGAACCACAAGUUUCUUCACAUCCUCUUCCUCUGCAGAAUAUGCUCUUGCCAUUGCCGCCUGCAAGAACAAAAUAAUGGUAAGGCUUUCAGACCAAGGAAACUAGUAAAAUUACCCGAGGUAAGAUAACAAUAGGAAGGAAGGAAAUUUAUUGCUCACCCCAGCCACCCCACGAUCAGAGGUUCAAAACGUAAGAGAUAAAAACACCUGAGGUAAGAUUACAACAGGAAGGAAGGAAAUGUAUACUACUAGCGCCAAGAAGCGCGCCGCACGCCGCGCCCGUGGUAGGCCUCAUUUAUAUUUGGGAUAAGUACUUUUGUUUUGUUUUUACUUCAUACAGACUAAUCUAGACUGUUAACAAAUAGCACUUCCUUUGGACAAGAUGAUUAAUCAAUAAACGGUUAGCUGAACAUAAAAUAUGUGCUUGCUAAGUCAGGCUAUUUUCAGUUGGUGUUUCAUAAGUUUUCUACCGGCACCACUCUUGCAGUUCUAGUCUUUACUAUUACAAUUCCUUUACAAAUGGUGUGAACAAAUGAUAUUGGUGUCGGUAUUUUUUAUAACAUGGAAAAAACAUUUAAAGUACUUGCUUCUUCUUGUAUAAAGCAGGUAAACUGACUAGAUGAAGAAGUUAAUUUGUGUAGCACAUGAAGUGCAGAGGGCAGUCAUACUAUUACUACCGACGGCACAACAAUAGUCUAAAAGUACAAAGAGUACCCAGGUUAUAGGUGCACAGUACAUACAUUUGUGUUGCUGCUUUCCGUAUCUCUUCUCAACAUCGAGUCAUAUGGAAAAUCUAACAAGGAAGCAUACAAAUCUAGCAAUAAUUUUUGUGCCAGGUAAUAUAACAUGCACCCAUGAGAUACAUAUAACGAUUUAGGAUCACAACGAGAUUACCAGGGGCUGCUUCCAAUAGGUCUUGCAGGACUUGAGAUUUCUCACCAACAUGGGGCAUUACCAUCAACACUUGGCAAGAGAAACAAACAGCAAAGCACAUGUGAGAUAAAAUUUUCCUUCAGCCCUUGCAGCACCAUCUUCUCGUUCUCAUUGUCCUACCAACAAACAAAAUUGUGUCCAUUUCAGUCCAAACUGUAGCUGAAACAAAGAACCAAGUACCAUAUUCAGCAAACAAAAAUUGUGUCCAUUUCUGCAAAAAAUUAUCCCCAACAAUAUCAGGCUUGUCUGUUGCUUCUUUGACAGGGUUACUACCUCCUCCUUUUGGGCGUCCUGCGCAUCAGCAGCAUCCGAGCCCUUCUUCUCUGCAGCACUUGCACAACGAUCUUCUCCUUUUUGUCGCCCUACGAGCAAACAAAAUUGUACCAUUUCAGUCCCAACUAUACUUGAAACGGAGAACCUAGUACCAAAUUCAGCAAACAAAAAAUAUGUCCAUUUCUGCAAAAAUUUAUCCCCACCAUUUUCAGUUUAACCACAUCUAAUUAUUGUAGCAAUACCCAAAAUAGAGCACACAAAUAUAAGGAUUUGACAAAUAGCAGCAAGUGGUGGUCUAGGUUGUUGUUUUGGCAGCAAACAAAUGCAUGUAAAUGUAAAAAGAGAGAGUAGCAGAGGCAUACCAUGGGCUACAUGGUCUAGAAGGAACGUACAGGUCGACCACUUGCUCCUCACGCGCAGCAUCAAUUUCUUCCCUUUUCUCUCCGCUGCUCCCUCACUCGAGUUCAGGGCCGU
rnacentral:lncRNA from 1 species